UAUGUUUCAAUAUUAAGAGCCCGUUUGGGAAGUAGCAGAAGCUACUUUUUUUAACUUUUGGAUUAUAAAAAGUCAGCAUCUAUGUGUUUGGCACUAUUUUAAAAAAAGCUUUUAACUUCCCGA